CGCCUGGGGAGUACGGUCGCAAGAUUAAAACUCAAAUGAAUUGACGGGGGCCCGCACAAGCGGUGGAGCAUGUGGUUUAAUUCGAAGCAACGCGAAGAACCUUACCAGGUCUUGACAUCCCCUGACAACCCGAGAGAUCGGGCGUUCCCCCUUCGGGGGGACAGGGUGACAGGUGGUGCAUGGUUGUCGUCAGCUCGUGUCGUGAGAUGUUGGGUUAAGUCCCGUAACGAGCGCAACCCCUAUCCCUAGUUGCUAGCAGUUCGGCUGAGAACUCUAGGGAGACUGCCGGUGACAAACCGGAGGAAGGUGGGGAUGACGUCAAGUCAGCAUGGCCUUUAUGUCUGGGGCCACACACGUGCUACAUGGCAGAUACAAA
rnacentral:rRNA from 1 species